rnacentral:rRNA from 1 species
UACGUAGGGUGCAAGCGUUGUCCGGAAUCACUGGGCGUAAAGCGCACGUAGGCGGACUCUUAAGUCGGUGGUGAAAUCCUGGAGCUCAACUCCAGAACUGCCUUCGAUACUGGGAGUCUCGAGUUCGGGAGAGGUGAGUGGAACUGCGAGUGUAGAGGUGAAAUUCGUAGAUAUUCGCAAGAACACCAGUGGCGAAGGCGGCUCACUGGCCCGAUACUGACGCUGAGGUGCGAAAGCGUGGGGAGCAAACAGG